rnacentral:rRNA from 1 species
AAUCGAACCCGGAGAUAGCUGGUUCUCCUCGAAAUAGCUUUAGGGCUAGCCUCAUGGAUCAUUGAUGGGGGUAGAGCACUGAAUGUGCGCGGGGGCCACAAAGCCUACCAAACGCUAUCAAACUUCGAAUACCAUACAAUGCAGACCAUGGGAGUCAGUCCGCGAGAGAUAAGUUCCGCGGGCAAAAGGGGAACACCCCAGAUCAACCGCUAAGGUCCCCAAGUUCACGUUAAGUGGAGAAGGAUGUGGAAUUGCACAGACAACCAGGAUGUUGGCUCAGAAGCAGCCACACAUUUAAAGAGUGCGUAAUAGCUCACUGGUCGAGUGAUUGUGCGCCGAAGAUGUCCGGGGCUAAACGUGACACCGAAGCGAUGGGUGCAUCUGAAAGGAUGCGCGGUAGAGGAGCAAUGUGCAGAGGCAGAAGCCGUAUCGAGAGGCACGGUGGACACUGCACAAGAGAGAAUGCCGGUAUGAGUAGCGAGAGGCAUGCGAGAAACAUGCCCGUCGAAAGCCCAAGGUUUCCUGGGGAAGGUUCAUCCGCCCAGGGUAAGUCGGGGCCUAAGCCGAGGACGGAAGUCGUAGGCGAUGGACAGCAGGUGUAGAUUCCUGCACUACCGAUGGAAUGAAGCAGUGACACAGAAGGAUAACUCGAGCAGGGUGAUGGUCAACCCUGUGCAAGCAUCAAGGUUGGGUUGUAGUGAAGUACGCAAUCCUAUAAGCUGAGGUGUGAUGCGGACCGAAAUUUCAGUAGGGAAGCGAGUGAGUUCACGCUGGCGAGAAAAGCUGCUAGUACAUCCAAAGGUACCCGUACCGGAAACCGACGCAGGUGGGCGAGGAGAGAAUCCUGAGACGAACGGGAGAACCCUUGUUAAGGAACUCGGCAAAAUGACCCCGUAACUUCGGGAUAAGGGGUGCCUGCGAGAGCAGGCCGCAGAGAAUAGUCACAAGCGACUGUUUAGCAAAAACACAGGUAUCUGCGAAAGCGAGAGCUGACGUAUAGGUGCUGACACCUGCCCGGUGCUGGAAGGUUAAGGGAACAUGUUAGAGCAAUCGAAGCAUCGAACCGAAGCCCCAGUAAACGGCGGCCGUAACUAUAACGGUCCUAAGGUAGCGAAAUUCCUUGUCGGGUAAGUUCCGACCCGCACGAAUGGUGUAACGACUUGUGAGCUGUCUCAACAGGGGGCCCGGUGAAAUUGAAGUAUGGGUGAAGAUGCCCAUUACCCGCGACUGGACGGAGAGACCCCGUAGAGCUUUACUGCAGCCUGAUAUUGAGUUUCGGUAACUGAUGCACAGGAUAGGUGGGAGUCUGAGAGACAUGGGUUUCGGCUCAUGUGGAGACGGUGUUGGGAUACCACUCUUCGGUUACUGAAAUUCUAACAUAGCUCUGUGAAACCAGAGGAUGGACAGUGUCAGGUGGACAGUUUGACUGGGGCGGUCGCCUCCGAAAGAGUAACGGAGGCGCCCAAAGGUACCCUCAGAAUGGAUGGAAACCAUUCGAAGAGCGCAAAGGCAGAAGGGUGCCUGACUGCGAGAGUGACAACUCGAGCAGAGACGAAAGUCGGGCUUAGUGAUCCGGCGGUAUUGAGUGGAAAAGCCGUCGCUUAACGGAUAAAAGCUACCUCGGGGAUAACAGGCUGAUCUCCCCCAAGAGUCCACAUCGACGGGGAGGUUUGGCACCUCGAUGUCGGCUCAUCGCAUCCUGGGGCUGUAUUCGGUCCCAAGGGUUUGGCUGUUCGCCAAUUAAAGCGGCACGCGAGCUGGGUUCAGAACGUCGUGAGACAGUUCGGUCCCUAUCCAUCGUGGGCGUAGGAGUCAUGAGAGGAGCUGUUCCUAGUACGAGAGGACCGGAAUGGACGCACCACUGGUGCAACUGUUGUCGUGCCAACGGCAUAGCAGGGAAGCGAAGUGCGGACGGGAUAAACGCUGAAGGCAUCUAAGCGUGAAGCCCACCUCAAGAAUAAGACUCCACAAUAGACCCCUGGAGGACUACCAGGUAGAUAGGUCAUCGGUGGAAGCGCUGUAAGGCGUGU